rnacentral:rRNA from 1 species
AUUGAACGCUGGCGGCAGGCCUAACACAUGCAAGUCGAGCGGAUGAAGGGAGCUUGCUCCUGGAUUCAGCGGCGGACGGGUGAGUAAUGCCUAGGAAUCUGCCUGGUAGUGGGGGAUAACGUCCGGAAACGGGCGCUAAUACCGCAUACGUCCUGAGGGAGAAAGUGGGGGAUCUGCGGACCUCACGCUAUCAGAUGAGCCUAGGUCGGAUUAGCUAGUUGGUGGGGUAAAGGCCUACCAAGGCGACGAUCCGUAACUGGUCUGAGAGGAUGAUCAGUCACACUGGAACUGAGACACGGUCCAGACUCCUACGGGAGGCAGCAGUGGGGAAUAUUGGACAAAGGGCGAAAGCCUGAUCCAGCCAUGCCGCGUGUGUGAAGAAGGUCUUCGGAUUGUAAAGCACUUUUAGUUGGGAGGAAGGGCAGUAAGUUAAUACCUUGCUGUUUUGACGUUACCAACAGAAUAAGCACCGGCUAACUUCGUG